UACGUAGGGGGCGAGCGUUGUCCGGAGUUACUGGGCGUAAAGGGCAUGCAGGCGGUCGGACGCGUUUCGGGUGACAGCGGGUGGCUUAACUACCCGAGUGUUCGAAAGACGGUCCGACUUGAGGGCUCGAGAGGGACACGGAAUUCCGGGUGGAGUGGUGAAAUGCGUAGAGAUCCGGAGGAACACCGAAGGCGAAGGCAGUGUCCUGGCGAGUGACUGACGCUGAGGUGCGAAAAGCUAGGGGAGCGAACGGG
rnacentral:rRNA from 1 species